GUUGUAUGGUUAAGUGACUAAGCGUACACGGUGGAUGCCUUGGCAGUCAGAGGCGAUGAAGGACGUACUAACUUGCGAUAAGCGGUGAUGAGGCAGUAAGAGCCACUUGAGUCACCGAUUUCCGAAUGGGGAAACCCACUUACAUAAGUAAGUAUCGCUGCAUGAAUACAUAGUGCAGCGAAGCGAACCGGGAGAACUGAAACAUCUAAGUACCCCGAGGAAAAGAAAUCAACCGAGAUUCCGAAAGUAGCGGCGAGCGAAAUUGGAUUAGCCCUUAAGCUUUAUAUGCGUUAGACGAAUGGUCUGGAAAGGCCAACGAUACCGGGUGAUAGUCCCGUAGUCAUAGGCGCAUGUUCAGUGAAAUCGAGUAGGGCGGGACACGUGUUAUCCUGUCUGAAUAUGGGGGGACCAUCCUCCAAGGCUAAAUACUCCUGACUGACCGAUAGUGAACCAGUACCGUGAGGGAAAGGCGAAAAGAACCCCUGUGAGGGGAGUGAAAUAGAACCUGAAACCGUGUACGUACAAGCAGUAGGAGCACCUUCGUGGUGUGACUGCGUACCUUUUGUAUAAUGGGUCAGCGACUUAAUGUUAGUAGCAAGGUUAACCGUAUAGGGGAGCCGUAGGGAAACCGAGUCUUAACUGGGCGUAUAGUUGCUAGCAUUAGACCCGAAACCGAGUGAUCUAGCCAUGGGCAGGUUGAAGGUUGAGUAACAUCAACUGGAGGACCGAACCGACUAAUGUUGAAAAAUUAGCGGAUGACUUGUGGCUAGGGGUGAAAGGCCAAUCAAACUCGGAGAUAGCUGGUUCUCCCCGAAAGCUAUUUAGGUAGCGCCUCGGACGAAUACUACUGGGGGUAGAGCACUGUUAAGGCUAGGGGGUCAUCCCGACUUACCAACCCUUUGCAAACUCCGAAUACCAGUAAGUACUAUCCGGGAGACACACGGCGGGUGCUAACGUCCGUCGUGGAGAGGGAAACAACCCAGACCGCCAGCUAAGGUCCCAAAUUACAGCUAAGUGGGAAACGAUGUGGGAAGGCUUAGACAGCUAGGAUGUUGGCUUAGAAGCAGCCAUCAUUUAAAGAAAGCGUAAUAGCUCACUAGUCGAGUCGGCCUGCGCGGAAGAUGUAACGGGGCUAAGUUGUAAACCGAAGCUGCGGCAAUGUUCUUGGAACAUUGGGUAGGGGAGCGUUCUGUAAGCCGUUGAAGGUGUGUUGUAAAGCAUGCUGGAGGUAUCAGAAGUGCGAAUGCUGACAUGAGUAACGACAA
rnacentral:rRNA from 1 species